AGACUGAAAUGCAUGGUGGGAAAUCUGUGUGAAAUUCACUUGCUGUUCCUGCAACCGUAUAGUCGGAGCGCCACCCAGUCUAGUCCGCUGUUGAAUGAAGGCCAGGAAAAGUCUAAUUCUGCAAUGUAAAA
rnacentral:ncRNA from 10 species